AACGCGAAUGGCACUCUUGUGAAAGCAAGAGUAUGUCUGUUUGAGAAUCGCAAAAAACGAUCAACUCAAGUUUGAGUUUGGUACUGGCAUUAGCAGCAGGCAGGUUUCUAGCGUGCGCUUCUGCCCGAAUGCAUUGAGGCUGAUGAGUCCCCCGGGUGGAGCUCUUAUGUGUGCUAGCGAACAGGUGUUUCGACGUCACAAAGGGCUUCCCGCAGGCUCUGUCGACGGCCUUUUGCUGGUUGGUUGAUGCGAGUCGAUCGAUCGAUCGAUCGACUGGCUGACUACUGACUAGCUAAUAAUCAUCAAACGAUCUCAAAUCAGGCAAGACUACCCGCUGGACUUAA
rnacentral:misc_RNA from 1 species